GGUUCCGCCCCUCUUCUGCUUCGUUCGAAAAAAACCUUGUGACUGCAUUUUAUCACACCAGCAUCUUCUAAACUUGGAAAAAUGACAUUUUUGGCUUUGGGAUUGGUCUUUUGUGCCCUUAUUUCUUUAAGUCAUUCUUACUGUGUCCGAAGCCUAGCAAAAUUUGGGGCAAAACAUUGUUUUGAUGUUCAUGAUAAUUCCUGGCACCAAGAGGGAGCUACCUGGAAAAACAGCAGAUGUAUGAGUUGUACAUGCAACCCCAGUGGAGCGAUGGAAUGCUGUGACAUGAUGGGUAGAGCGACUGUCCAAACUGAAGGCUGCACUGUGAAGUAUGAUUACAGCACCUGUACAUUUGAAGUAUUUCAUACUAAAGACAGCACAAUUACUUGUCAAUUUGUGGUCAUUGGAAAGUAAUUUCCAUUGAUUGAGAAUAUAAAGAUUACCUUUAUUUGUGUGUAAUUACGUUGUGACAUGUGUAAUCAUGUAAUCGUUUAUUGUGUCCUGUUAAUACAACCCCACUGGGAAAAACAACUGCUCAAACCAGCCUAAACUGGUUUGCAGGUCUCACAGCUGUGGCCAAGCUGUGGUGUUUAGCUUGUCAGCCAACUGGUCUCCCAACUUGACCACCUGAAAAAUUCCCAACCCCCUCAAAACCAGCAACACAGACCAGCUUGACGAUACUAAGCAAACCAGCUUAGGCCUUGGUUGAUUCUGUUUUUUUUUUUUUUUUUUAACAAGGAACAGAGUUCAAUUACAUAACAAUGAAAUUAUUAUAAUACUGUCAUUACCUAACUAAAUUGUAAUAAAAUACAUCAUGUCUGAAAUAUCCAUCC